UAGAAUAAUUUGCAUAUGCUAUCGGGCCAUCUGAAACCAAUACCAGUUGGGCUGCCUUACGAUUACAACUUUACAAGUCUACUGUUUUGGGCUAAACUCAAAUCAGAGCGUGCAGGAACGCGGCGGCGUUACUCACCGGACCCUGCUCGCAUAGCAGCUGCGUGUAUGUAUAUAUUGCACUAAACUUGCAAUCUUUUUCUUACUUGUUCACUGAAUUACUGUCUUAUGUGUCUAAUGUCUUUAUUACCAAACCCUAUUUUUCAUUUUUGCUUACAUAACCUUUGUUUGUAGCUCUUAAAUCCAGUAUCUUUGUGUAAUUUUUGUUUUAUUUUAGAGUUCACAAACUAAAUGGGUGUAUAAAGAUUUCCAUCUUUAAAUUUGAUUUCUAUGCGUAUAUAGAUUCUGCAAAUUAUUUGUGCACAUUUUGUAUACAUUGUUAUGCACAGUAUUUAAACUGUGAAGAAUGAGACUAUAUAGAUGUUAUUUGAAGAGUGGACAAUGAGGAGAAAUUGUAUAAUGUGCCUGAUUCUAUGCCCACGAAGAUUGCUGCCCGGCUUUAUGCCGCUGGUUGGUUUUUUUCUGGCUGGAGUUUGAUGGCUUCCUUACUCAUCUGACUGUCUUUAGCUCUUGGGUUUCUACUUUUUUAAUACUAUUUUUUUAUGCUUUGUAACAUCUACAUUCUAAGGGGCCGUUUGGUUCGCUUUGGGGAAACGGAAUGGAAUCCGGAAUGGAAUGGAAUUGUAAUUGGUCGAGUUGUAUAAGUGUUAAUGUUAACUUAUAUUUUGUGGGAGCUCUAUUCCCCAAAUACUUUAAUAUGAAUCCAUUUUCAAUGGUAAAUUUUAGUAUCUUCAGUAAUGUUAAUCCUUUUUUAAUUUUUACGUAGAAAUAACCCCUCUACUUCUAGUAAGACAGGCAAAGUCUGCUUAUUUCUAACAGUCAUCUGAUGCUACCUGACUCACCUAAUAUAUUUGGUCUAAUUUUAAUAUACCUGCAUUGCUUUUUUUUGGAAUUUUAAUUGCUUAUUACCACCUAAACCCUGUUCCUUUUCACCUGUUCUGUGAUACUCAAUUGUCUGUGUCCUCUCAAAAAAGUUUUCUUUCGCUAAAAGAACUGAGUAGUUUGAUUGUACACUAUUUAGGGGCUGCACACCACAAAUAGUGAAAAAGAUUAGACAAUUAUAUAUAUGUUUACUUGAACUAAUUGUGAUUGCGUAGCUGAGUUCAGAACUGACUUACUAUAACUUGAGAUGAUAAAAAAUGAAGGGUCCCGGUCCCUAACAAUCAUAUGUCAGGGUAUACUACCAGCGGAUAUAAACCGCUAGAUGCAUUAACCCUAAGUUGUUGAUGCAUAUAUGGGGGUGGUACAGUAUCAUCCAACGGAAAACUGACCCAUUUUAGUGUUUCUGUCGUCCAACUCUUUUUUUUUGCUGAACAUAUGUUACUAAUAAUCUGGACCAAUGCCCAAAAAUGAAUAUAUGAAUGGUAUUGUUGCUGUUUGCAACAAUAGCUUUUUUGGUGAGCAUAAAAAAUUGAUUGGUAAAUUUCACAGGAAAAGUGUUUUUGGGUCUAAAGAUGCUUUUAGAGAAAGCAUGUCUUUUUUUUCCUUGCCCCCAUACUUUUGAAGAAUGCUGUUUUUCAGCUUAUGUAGAGUUUGUCAAACCUCACCAAAGACAUUAAUUUUUUAUAUUAUACCUCAAGAUAUGCACAUAUUAAAAAUGUUACCGAACAGUAUUUCUCCACCAACUUUUUUUUUUGCAACACUAUUUUCACAGCAUAACAGUUUUGAACAUUACUCCCAAACGGAGUCGAAGAGAGGAAAAUGAUGAGUCAUAGCAGGUACUUAUGAUGGUAAUUAUUGUCUAGAUAUUCUCCUGGUGCAGCCCAAAGUGGCUGUGCUGAGAUUCUAUGCUGCGCCGCUUGAUUGUGUAAACAUUGCUCUCUGAUUCCCUCUGUCAUCGCUAUUUUUAAAUGAAUUUCAAUAAAUUUUUACAAAUAUGCAUUAGUUGGUUUCUCAUUUUCCAUAAUCUUUUUAUGAAAAAUUUACAACUUUAACUAUUUCCUACCUGUGUUAAUAUUCUUUGCUUUAAUAUUAUCAUGCUGAUUUGUUGAAAUUUGUACGUGUUCACUUUUGGAGUUACGCAACAUACUGUUUUUUUAACAUGCUGCUAUUAUCAUAGCUUUUAUGUGUUGCUUGUGUAUUUUUUUCAAAAGGUUAAUUAAUUAGUUUAAAGUCAAAAUAUUAUAAUGUUUUAAAACACUUAUACAUCGAAAAGGCUAUGUUAGGAGUUCAUUGCAUUGUAAGUUGUAUCUGUGAAUCGAAUUGCCUAUGAUAUCUGUAUAAAAUUGUUUACAUUUAUAAGAUAAAGAUGAACAUAAAUUUUAGAUUCUAGACCACAUUCAUGGUUCUCCUACUCUAAUUUCUCUCUCGCAAACUGAUUAUAAUUUAAAACUACAUUUCCAUCACAUAUUCUGUUGCACUUUUGGGCACCUGUGCAAUAGCUGGAUUUGAGCUGAAAUUCCAAGCUGGUUAAAGAGCGUAUGCGUAUGCGUAUGCGUUGUAUAUACAUUAAUGAAUAAUAUCAUCCUCUAGAGUCUAGAUUGUUAACAUCUUGUGUGCGUUGCACGAUAAGAAGGCCUGAUCAUACUCUGUGCUAUUUCCAUCAAGGCCCUCAACUCAAGGAUAAUCCUUGAGUAGCUCACUAGCAGGAUUUACUCAAGCUGGUUUGAUACCUAAGUCAACUUGCGGUCAAGGUGUCAGCCUUUUCCUCACCAUUGUGGCAAUUCGUGAUGUAGACUGCACUCUUAAUAGACUACAAUGCAAUCUGUUACAUGUUCUUUUGUCACCAUCAGGUUAUAUUGUUACUUGGAGACAAAAAAGGCAAUCUACUUCUGUUGGUCCUAUGCAAAGUACAGGACAAUGGCAGUCUGGCAGAUGCUUGCUGACAGCUUACUUUGAUUGUUUUACACCUCACUGAACUACACUCUAAAUCUUCCACACCUGCCUCUAUGUAAUAGUAACUUAAUAAAUCAGCUUUACACAUCGCCUUUAAUCACACAUAUAUUCCAUCAUAGGGCUCAGAUUAUAGAUAUUGAUUGUCACCUAGGCAGACAAAAAUUACAGACAGGUAUAGUUUGUACUCAAUUCAUACCUUCUUUUGAGAACCUGUAGAAAGUUUGGAGUUCGCAACUUGUGAUUCCAUCGUCUCAGGUACAGAAAUUUGUUUGGCACUCCUAGCUUGAGGGGGUAGACAAUGAUACUAUGUUCAUUGUAGAUUUAGUUCACAUCUUGCAACUAGUCAAGUUUAAUGUCAGUUCAGAUAAUGUGUGCAAAACUUGUUAACUAGCUUAACAAGAAUCCAGCUGAAUAGUUGCGGUUGUCAUCUUCAUUGAAUAUUAAAUGAAAAAUAUUGUUUGAUAACAAAUAUUUAGGAUGUCUAAAUGACAUUAUUUUUCUAUUUUACUUCAAAUCAAUGAUGUUGUUUAUUGAACAUAUUGUGGUAUAAUCUUCUGUAAAGUUAUAGUAAGACAUGUACAAGUAGGUUAUUAGUAAAAAAAAUUUAAAGUUGAUAGUUUGUGGUACACACCUUUUGAUUGUUAAUAAUACAAUGAUAUGUAAUUAAGUAAUUAUGUAAUGAUAAAAAUAGUUUUUUAUGUGUUUGCUUUCAACUGUAUUUGUAGCUUUAAAACUAUGUUAAGAAUGAUAAUAAAGUUUUUUUUUUAAAGAAUAUAAUAAUAUGAUAGUAUGAUUAAAAUUUAAUUUGAGUUCUAUAAGUAUUUAACAUUUUUAUAAUUGAAUAAAACCAUUUACCUUCAUAUCGUGAAGGUUCCUUUUGGAACUCUUCAUUCUGUGAGUUCACAAAACUUGUAAUAUGGAACAUGCUUAAUAUUGAAGAAGUUAUAAUUAAAUAAUAUUAUGUUUUAUAUUAUGUUAGUAGAUUUUGUUUUUAUUUUAUUAAAAUUCUUAUAAAUCGUAGUGAAACAAUUUGAAACUCGUAAGACUUUUUACUGUAAAGAGGAAGUUCGUAAAUUAGAGUCAAAUCUGAUAGCUAAAGAUACUGGAUGAAAUUAUUUAGAAAAUUCUCUUCAGAAUGUAGCUAAGAUCACUACGGUGAGAGUGUGAGACUUUGACGAAAUACCUUCCCCUUUUACCUGCUAUCAGUACUCAGACUAGGUAUAAGUGUAUAACCUAUAGCUUUUUUCAAUCUAGAUUUCUUUCUAAAUUUUAAGUUCAUCAACCUGUGUGGUGUUGUACCUAUGUUGUAGGCUUGUAUUACAAGAGGCCAGCUGCGACUUUGACCAUUCAUCCACUCUCAUCUUAGUUUGCCGAUACUGGUAUGUAGCCAAUCAUGCUAGCUCCACAUGUACGCCUUUAGGAAAGGGCUAUAAAGGCACUCACCAGUCACCUUGGCCCCUUUACUGUUCAGCCUUGACGUGCGUAUUACGAGAAUUGGACGUGUUUCAGCAGUGUGCCUUUAUUCAUCAACAUUAGUUGGCAUACAUUAGUUGCCAUGCCCAACCCAAAGCUAUUCUUGAAAUAAGAAGUAGAGCGUGUCAUCAUGACCUACACUCGUUUCUAAUCGGGACUUUUAUGCAACGAAUAUGAUGGCAUCAUAGUAUCUAAUUUGAUUUGUGGAAUUAUAUAUGAUAUGAGUAUAGUUUUAAAUAAUUUCCUGCAGAUGUACAUAUUGAUUUAAAUUUGUGGAAUUAUUAUAAUGAAUUGAGUGUGGUUUACUUUAAUGACGGGGAGCUGAUUGUCUUGGGCUGUUUGGACAACUUUAAUGUGAAGAGGGAAGUUGAGGCACUUUUUACUUGAGGACUUUUGGCCUUCGUUCAACAUACUAGUCCAAAAGUUUCUGUGUGUCAAUCCUCGCUCAAGAACUCUAUUCCUGGUUUGAAGGGAUCGAAUAUGGCUCAAGGUUCUUUGUAGGAAACUAAAAUUUGAUUAGUGGGUUGAUACUAUGAACUGUCCACAUGGGGCCUUGGGUCUUAAGUGGCCUUCGUUGCGGGACAUGAAGGUGGCCUAUAUAUAUGCUUGAUUUGUUAUAAAUUCAACUCAUAAUAACCAUUUCUGCUUAUAACUCUAAGCUUAUAAUUCUUGCUCCAAUACUUUUACUUUACUAAACCAUCAUUUAAUGGCCUCUUUCGUACCCGAAAACUUUGAAUCCGUUGCAAGUUGUGAAUUCAACGUAGAUGGUGCGCUUCUCUUGUCACAAUUUCUUGAUGAAUCAAAUGUAGAAGAUUGUGAAGACGAUGAGCGAUUAACAAGUGUUAUUCGAUCAUUAGAAGCUGAGAUUAUGGAACCUAUUUUGAUGACUGAAGAUGGUGAUUCAUUUAUGGAGCUUGAGUGGGAUGAUAACUUUGUUAUGAUUCGGGAUUAUAUUUUUGACGGGCCAGCAGAAAAUGAAAUGAACAGUCAAGAUUGUUCAACAUCGUCGGAGAGUGAUGAUCUUGAUAACUAUAACUGGAUGGAUAUCGAAGACAUGAUUCAAUCUGGAGUUGGAGAUGAUUAUUGUCGAUAUUCUCAGUACGAUACUAACGAGUAUUAUGUGAACCACAAUAGUUAUGUAAUUAACUCUUUGGAUGAGCAAAGUUAUGGUUCCUUGUGGCAAGAUGCAAAUGUGCUUAUGUAAUUUAAUCAAGCUUAAGAUACUAGUUGUAUCUUGUAUGUGUAUAUUUUCUUUAUCAAGAGAGACAGCUGAUUACUUGGGCAUAUCAAAUGUAUUUGGCUGUUUUGGUAAAUUUAUAUUAAUAGAUUAAUCAUUUUCUUAUCUA